rnacentral:rRNA from 1 species
AGAGUUUGAUCCUGGCUCAGGAUGAACGCUAGCGACAGGCUUAACACAUGCAAGUCGAGGGGCAGCACAGGUAGCAAUACCGGGUGGCGACCGGCGCACGGGUGAGUAACGCGUAUGCAACUUACCUAUCAGAGGGGGAUAACCCGGCGAAAGUCGGACUAAUACCGCAUGAAGCAGGGGCCCCGCAUGGGGAUAUUUGCUAAAGAUUCAUCGCUGAUAGAUAGGCAUGCGUUCCAUUAGGCAGUUGGCGGGGUAACGGCCCACCAAACCGACGAUGGAUAGGGGUUCUGAGAGGAAGGUCCCCCACAUUGGAACUGAGACACGGUCCAAACUCCUACGGGAGGCAGCAGUGAGGAAUAUUGGUCAAUGGGCGAGAGCCUGAACCAGCCAAGUAGCGUGAAGGAUGACUGCCCUAUGGGUUGUAAACUUCUUUUAUAAAGGAAUAAAGUCGGGUAUGGAUACCCGUUUGCAUGUACUUUAUGAAUAAGGAUCGGCUAACUCCGUGCCAGCAGCCGCGGUAAUACGGAGGAUCCGAGCGUUAUCCGGAUUUAUUGGGUUUAAAGGGAGCGUAGAUGGAUGUUUAAGUCAGUUGUGAAAGUUUGCGGCUCAACCGUAAAAUUGCAGUUGAUACUGGAUAUCUUGAGUGCAGUUGAGGCAGGCGGAAUUCGUGGUGUAGCGGUGAAAUGCUUAGAUAUCACGAAGAACUCCGAUUGCGAAGGCAGCUCACUGGAGUGUAACUGACGCUGAUGCUCGAAAGUGUGGGUAUCAAACAGGAUUAGAUACCCUGGUAGUCCACACAGUAAACGAUGAAUACUCGCUGUUUGCGAUAUACAGUAAGCGGCCAAGCGAAAGCGUUAAGUAUUCCACCUGGGGAGUACGCCGGCAACGGU